GACGAACGCUGGCGGCGUGCUUAACACAUGCAAGUCGAACGGAAAGGCCCUGCUUUUGUGGGGUGCUCGAGUGGCGAACGGGUGAGUAACACGUGAGUAACCUGCCCUUGACUUUGGGAUAACUUCAGGAAACUGGGGCUAAUACCGGAUAGGAGCUCCUGCUGCAUGGUGGGGGUUGGAAAGUUUCGGCGGUUGGGGAUGGACUCGCGGCUUAUCAGCUUGUUGGUGGGGUAGUGGCUUACCAAGGCUUUGACGGGUAGCCGGCCUGAGAGGGUGACCGGCCACAUUGGGACUGAGAUACGGCCCAGACUCCUACGGGAGGCAGCAGUGGGGAAUAUUGCACAAUGGGCGGAAGCCUGAUGCAGCAACGCCGCGUGCGGGAUGAAGGCCUUCGGGUUGUAAACCGCUUUCGCCUGUGACGAAGCGUGAGUGACGGUAAUGGGUAAAGAAGCACCGGCUAACUACGUG
rnacentral:rRNA from 1 species